rnacentral:rRNA from 1 species
GAUGAACGCUGGCGGCGUGCCUAAUACAUGCAAGUCGAGCGAACAGACGAGGAGCUUGCUCCUUUGACGUUAGCGGCGGACGGGUGAGUAACACGUAGGUAACCUACCUAUAAGACUGGGAUAACUUCGGGAAACCGGAGCUAAUACCGGAUAAUAUUUUGAACCGCAUGGUUCGAUAGUGAAAGAUGGCUUUGCUAUCACUUAUAGAUGGACCUGCGCCGUAUUAGCUAGUUGGUAAGGUAACGGCUUACCAAGGCAACGAUACGUAGCCGACCUGAGAGGGUGAUCGGCCACACUGGAACUGAGGCACGGUCCAGACUCCUAAGGGAGGCAGCAGUAGGGAAUCUUCCGCAAAGGGCGAAAGCCUGACGGAGCAAAGCCGCGGGGGGGAUGAAGGUCUUCGGAUCGUAAAACUCUGUUAUUAGGGAAGAACAAAAGUGUAAGUAACUGAUGACGGCUUGACGGUACCUUAUCAGAAAGCCACCGCUAAAUACGUG